CCUUACAGCCAUACCACCCUGAGCACACCCGAUCUUGUCUGAUCUCGGAAGCUAACCAGGGUUGGGCUUGGUUAGUACUUGGAUCGGAGACUACCUGGGAAUACCAAGUGCUGUAAGCC
ensembl:rRNA 5S_rRNA 5S ribosomal RNA